rnacentral:rRNA from 2 species
GUGAUCGGCCACAUUGGGACUGAGACACGGCCCAAACUCCUACGGGAGGCAGCAGUAGGGAAUCUUCCGCAAUGGACGAAAGUCUGACGGAGCAACGCCGCGUGAGUGAAGAAGGCCUUCGGGUCGUAAAACUCUGUUGCCGGGGAAGAACAAGUGCCGUUCGAACAGGGCGGCGCCUUGACGGUACCCGGCCAGAAAGCCACGGCUAACUACGUGCCAGCAGCCGCGGUAAUACGUAGGUGGCAAGCGUUGUCCGGAAUUAUUGGGCGUAAAGCGCGCGCAGGCGGCUUCUUAAGUCUGAUGUGAAAUCUUGCGGCUCAACCGCAAGCGGUCAUUGGAAACUGGGAGGCUUGAGUGCAGAAGAGGAGAGUGGAAUUCCACGUGUAGCGGUGAAAUGCGUAGAGAUGUGGAGGAACACUCAUGUGGCGACAGGGCGGUCUGUUGGCUCUGUACAUAGACGGUCUGAGGCGCGAAUACCGUGGGGACCAACCAGGAUGAGAUACCCGUGCGUAGUCCCACGAAGUACACCGAUGAGUGUUAAGUGUUAGCAGGGUUUCCGCCCUUUAGUGCUGCAGCUAACCCAUUACCCACUCCGCCUGGGGAGUACGGCCGCAAGGCUGAAACUCAAAGGAAUUGACGGGGCCCCGCACAAGCGGUGGAGCAUGUGGUUUAAUUCGAAGCAACGCGAAGAACCUUACCAGGUCUUGACAUCCUCUGACCUCCCUGGAGACAGGGCCUUCCCCUUCGGGGGACAGAGUGACAGGUGGUGCAUGGUUGUCGUCAGCUCGUGUCGUGAGAUGUUGGGUUAAGUCCCGCAACGAGCGCAACCCUUGACCUUAGUUGCCAGCAUUGAGUUGGGCACUCUAAGGUGACUGCCGGUGACAAACCGGAGGAAGGUGGGGAUGACGUCAAAUCAUCAUGCCCCUUAUGACCUGGGCUACACACGUGCUACAAUGGAUGGUACAAAGGGCUGCGAGACCGCGAGGUUAAGCCAAUCCCAGAAAACCAUUCCCAGUUCGGAUUGCAGGCUGCAACCCGCCUGCAUGAAGCCGGAAUCGCUAGUAAUCGCGGAUCAGCAUGCCGCGGUGAAUACGUUCCCGGGCCUUGUACACACCGCCCGUCACACCACGAGAGUUUGUAACACCCGAAGUCGGUGAGGUAACCUUUACGGAGCC